CCCCUUAGAGUUUGAUCCUGGCUCAAGAUGAACGCUGGCGGUGCGCUUAAUACAUGCAAGUCGAGGGCCAACUUUUUGUAUCACUUUGUGGGUGGCGACUGGAUGAGUGGGACAUUUUCCGUUUGAAUCCUUCCUUAGAGAGGAGAGUAUUCCAAACUCCCCCCGAUUAAUACCCCGCCCUUAUUGGAGUGAUUACUAUUUGAAUUACCCAUUUAUCUAUUGAAGAUGGCUGUGCGUCUAAUUCCUGUAUCCGAUAAGCUAUGUGGCGGGGUACCAGCCAUCCAUGGCUGGGGUGGGAACCUGACCUGACACGACGACCCUGCUACAUGGACCUGACUCCUGGGGCAUACACCUACGGGGGGUAUUGGUGAGGGAUCUUCCGUCAGAAACAACCGUGCGAUGGAGAGAAUGAACGUCCUCGAGAUUGGUUUUUUUUUUGAUCUCUUCUUUUCUCAGGGACUUUCUUGACAGCUGACGAUAAAAAAUGGAUAGCUACCUAUGUGCUCCCUGCCGCCAUCCUACAUAAUACCGAAGCGUGCAUCCGUAAUUACUGAUUCGUUGGGUUUCUGCGGGUGCGUAGGUGGUGUAAUACGUCAACUACCGAGAUGUCAGCCCCUUAGUUUGUGUCUUUGACUGUUAUUUCUGUGAGUGAUCGAAUCGUAUGGAGGUUGUUUAAGAAAGGAGACAUUGUCACUGCUGUAGAUCACCUAUGAAAAUAUCACCAGAAAUACCAAGUCGCCAUAGUGGGGUCUCUGACUCUACUCUCAGACACUAAAGCGUGAGGGACGCUGAGAGGAGAUUACCAGGAUUAUAUACUCGACGUAGUCAACGUAUGAAAAGAAAGGUAGUACUCGUUCCUUGUAGAAUCAAUUGCCGGUGGCCUACGCGUUAAGUGCAUACCUCCUCGCACUCUGGACGGACUUACGUGCUCAUGACUCGAUCCUAAGAUGUCGACGGACAGCAUGACUCGUGUGAACAUGGUUCUAACUCCGAUAAUGGACACCGCC
rnacentral:rRNA from 1 species